rnacentral:rRNA from 1 species
UACGUAGGGGGCUAGCGUUGUCCGGAAUCAUUGGGCGUAAAGAGCGUGUAGGCGGCCCGGUAAGUCCGCUGUGAAAGUCGGGGGCUCAACCCUCGGAUGCCGGUGGAUACUGUCGGGCUCGAGUACGGAAGAGGCGAGUGGAAUUCCUGGUGUAGCGGUGAAAUGCGCAGAUAUCAGGAGGAACACCUAUUGCGAAGGCAGCUCGCUGGGACGUUACUGACGCUGAGGCGCGAAAGCGUAGGUAGCAAACAGG